GAUGAACGCUAGCGGCAGGCUUAAUACAUGCAAGUCGAGGGGCAGCAUGACUGUAGCAAUACAGUUGAUGGCGACCGGCAAACGGGUGCGGAACACGUACAGAACCGUCCUUCGAACGGGGUGUAGCCCAGAGAAAUUUGGGUCAACAACCCAUUGUACAACGAAGUGGCAUCACUUUGUUGUUAAAGGUUUAUAACUUUAAGAUGGCGGUGCGGUUGAUUAGGUAGUUGGCGGGGUAACGGCCCACCAAGCCUGCGAUCAGUAACUGGGGUGAGAGCACGACCAGUCACAAGGGCACUGAGCCACGGGCCCGACUCCUACGGGAGGCAGCAGUAAGGAAUAUUUGUCAAUGGACGAAAGUCUGAACCAGCCAUGCCGCGUGGAGGAUGAAGGUCCUCUGGAUUGUAAACUUCUUUUAUAUGGGACGAAAAAAGGGUUUUCUAACUCGUCUGACGGUACCAUAUGAAUAAGCACCGGCUAACUCCGUGCCAGCAGCCGCCGUAAGAC
rnacentral:rRNA from 1 species